CUUCAAUUCCCUCCAUAUGACCUUUUCUCCUCGUGGCUCAAGACCCCUGUCAACAAAAUGUUCCCUGCCACCUGGCAGGUCAUUGCAGACCAUUUCAAAAUGAACAAUGUAUAUGAUAUCUAGCGUGAAAGCAGCAGUGCAUGAUGAACAGGAGUGCCUCACGCCACAAGAGAUAAUGAAGAACUAGCGGCAACAUGGCGUCUUUCGAUGUGACAUCAGAAGAUUGUGGGGGAUUUCGCGCCAUGUUGGUUUUCACUGUGGCCGUGUAAACGGUUCACUUUCCACUUGGAGGAGGAUGUGCUGGGGAUGACAAUGAGAUGAGGGACGACAUUCAUGGGGGAACAUACCACUGCUCUUUCAACAACGCAUCUUUUAAAGAUGAAGAGGAGGAGAAGGUGGAUAAAGAACAGAUGAAGACACCGGCAGUUUGAUGUUGAGUAGUAUUCACACAAGACUGGAAGUCAGAUAUAAUCCAAGUACAGAUGAACACAGCACCAACCAUAGCUUGCUUGUUAGUUUUGAUUGUCAGAGGUAAAGCUUGACAUUUUUUGGUGUGUAUUGUAUCAUUUAAGUUUCAGAGAACAAUUAAACCACUGAAUUAGCUACAUGGUUUGGUAAUUAGUUAAACUAACUUCCACCAAACCAAUAAAAAAAAUGAUGUUCAACUUGUAGCUACUUCCGAAACUGCCGACCAUGUUGGCUUAAACCCAAACGUCUUCCACACCAAUGUGUGAGGUGUUUCUCCACUACCCAGAAGCACCCAGGGGGUAUUUGAGAUCCAGUCAGGAAGGGCUGUGCCUCGCCUGUGGGAGUCACGCUACCUGUAUGGUGUGUCUGGACAUGUGUCCCAAACACUCCCAUGCUUGCCCCACGAGUGUGAGGUCAUCCCGGGGGAAAUACAGUAUAUUGGUGAGCCGGUUUCCUGUUUCAUGUUCUCAUCACAAGCUUUUUAGUUCAGGAGUAGACUUAAUGAAAGCUAGACUUUAUACCAUAGAGCAUUUAAUGCCUGGAAAAAGCCAUUUUGGAUCCAAAGAGCACCUUUUUACAUAAAAAUGUUCAAUUUUCCCUAUUCUCUCUCAUCUUUCCUGUGCUCCCGGGAUGGGCUCCUCCCUCCCCAGAGCCCCUGUGCCCUCAGAUGAGCACCAACGAGCAGCUUGGACCAGAGUCUGAGUAUCUUGUUGUCUACGAUACACAGAGAGGUAUAGAAAGUGUCAAUCACUGAGCGGCUCU
ensembl:lncRNA